rnacentral:rRNA from 1 species
GGUGGUUUGUCGCGUUGUUCGUGAAAACUCACAGCUUAACUGUGGGCGUGCGGGCGAUACGGGCAGACUAGAGUACUGCAGGGGAGACUGGAAUUCCUGGUGUAGCGGUGGAAUGCGCAGAUAUCAGGAGGAACACCGGUGGCGAAGGCGGGUCUCUGGGCAGUAACUGACGCUGAGGAGCGAAAGCGUGGGGAGCGAACAGGAUUAGAUACCCUGGUAGUCCACGCCGUAAACGGUGGGUACUAGGUGUGGGUUUCCUUCCUUGGGAUCCGUGCCGUAGCUAACGCAUUAAGUACCCCGCCUGGGGAGUACGGCCGCAAGGCUAAAACUCAAAGAAAUUGACGGGGGCCCGCACAAGCGGCGGAGCAUGUGGAUUAAUUCGAUGCAACGCGAAGAACCUUACCUGGGUUUGACAUGCACAGGACGCCAGUAGAGAUAUUGGUUCCCUUGUGGCCUGUGUGCAGGUGGUGCAU